UACGGAGGGUGCAAGCAUUAAUCGGAUUUAUUGGGCGUAAAGGGCUCGUAGGUGGCCAACUAAGUCACACGUGAAAUCCCUCGGCUUAACCGGGGAACUGCGUGUGAUACUGGAUGGCUUGAGUUUGGGAGAGGGAUGCGGAAUUCCAGGUGUAGCGGUGAAAUGCGUAGAUAUCUGGAGGAACACCGGUGGCGAAGGCGGCAUCCUGGACCAAUACUGACGCUGAGGAGCGAAAGCCAGGGGAGCAAACGGG
rnacentral:rRNA from 1 species